rfam:Hordeum vulgare subsp. vulgare, WGS project CAJW01000000 data, contig: morex_contig_2557480
CAUCUAUUUCCUCCGUUCUAAAAUUCUUGUCACAGAUUUAUCCAGAUAUGAAUGUAUCUAGUCACGUUUUAGUAUUUCGAUACAUCCAUUUCUCGACAAACAUAAGACAAGAAUUUUAGAAUGGAGAGAGUAUGUG